CAGAGUUGGAGCAGCAGUGCUAUCAGAUAACAUCUCUAGGAUACUUCACACCAUCUGACUGUGAUUAAGAGAAUCCUGGGGCUCUCUGAUGGUCAGAAGCGAUUUCUCCUGUUCCUCGUGGAGUUUCAGGGAAGACUGGAGCUCGGUGAUGUUCUGGAGGUGUGUGUCGUUUCUAUGAUUUAUGUUCUGUUCACGCUGCUUUCGCUCCAUAGCUAAAGUAGCCUCCAGAGUGUGCACCUUCUGUACCAGAAUGGCUUUCUCUUCUUUCUCUUCUGUUAUCUUCUCUAUCAUCAGAUUAAGAAAUGCAUCCCAAUCUGUAACUCCUUUCUGCA